UUUCCAUUGUGGACAAAGAUGGCAAUGCCGUUUCGUUAACAACGACACUGAAUGGAUCGUACGGUUCGGCCGUGGUGGUAAA
rnacentral:tRNA from 1 species